rnacentral:rRNA from 1 species
GACAGCGGGUGCAAACGUUGUUCGGAAUUACUGGGCGUAAAGCGAGUGUCGGCGGUCUGAUAAGUCGGGUGUGAAAGCCCCGGGCUCAACCCGGGAAGUGCACUCGAAACUGACAGGCUAGAGUAUCGGAGAGGUUGGUGGAAUUCUCGGUGUAGAGGUGAAAUUCGUAGAUAUCGAGAGGAACACCGGUGGCGAAGGCGGCCAACUGGACGAAUACUGACGCUGAGACUCGAAAGCGUGGGGAGCAAACAGG